UAUUCUGCCCUACGGGGAAGGAUGAGAAGCUUCGACCAAGGUUCGACUCGAGCGCCAGCGAGAGAACGUUGCCAAGGGCUACGGCCCGAAGGGCGAGGAGCGAUAGCGACGAGUUAUCCUUCCCCCACCACCA
rnacentral:sRNA from 1 species